AGUGAACGCUGGCGGUAGGCCUAACACAUGCAAGUCGAACGGCAGCACAGUAAGAGCUUGCUCUUACGGGUGGCGAGUGGCGGACGGGUGAGGAAUACAUCGGAAUCUACUUUUUCGUAGGGGAUAACGUAGGGAAACUUACGCUAAUACCGCAUACGACCUACGGGUGAAAGCAGGGGAUCUUCGGACCUUGCGCGAUUGGAUGAGCCGAUGUCGGAUUAGCUAGUUGGCGGGGUAAAGGCCCACCAAGGCGACGAUCCGUAGCUGGUCUGAGAGGAUGAUCAGCCACACUGGAACUGAGACACGGUCCAGACUCCUACGGGAGGCAGCAGUGGGGAAUAUUGGACAAUGGGCGCAAGCCUGAUCCAGCCAUACCGCGUGGGUGAAGAAGGCCUUCGGGUUGUAAAGCCCUUUUGUUGGGAAAGAAAAGCAGCAGGUUAAUACCCCGCUGUUCUGACGGUACCCAAAGAAUAAGCACCGGCUAACUUCGUG
rnacentral:rRNA from 1 species